CAGCGCCACGAGUGGCAUACGCAUUUAUUGGGCUUAAAGCGUCCGUAGCCGGUCAGGUAAAUCUUUUGUGAAAUCAUGGGGCUUAACUCCAUGGCGUGCAGAAGACACUAUCUGGCUUGGAACCGGGAGGAGUCAGAGGAAUUCCAGGGGGAGCGGUAAAAUGUUAUAAUCCCUGGAGGACCACCUGUGGCGAAGGCGUCUGACUAGAACGGAUUCGACGGUGAGGGACGAAGGCCAGGGGAGCGAACCGGAUUAGAUACCCGAGUAGUCU
rnacentral:rRNA from 1 species